CACCGCUGCAAGAGGGGAAGUUGCUACUGUGAUGAAUUCUGCCAUGUGGCACCAGACUGCCACCCAGACCACAGUGUCCUCUGCAACCCUGCUUCUCAGAUGACCAAGAUGGUGCUGCAGAUGGUGCUGAGGAUGGAGAACCCACCAAGCCCCGCUAGGAGCCACCUAGACUGGAUGCAGAGCAUGGAGUUUUAUUUGCUUCCAAGAAGGAAGGCAAGAUUUCCUGGGUCCGUGAUGAUGGAAGGCUGACAACUCUUUUAUGGAGUUUGAGCUUGCUCCCAGCAGGGAAGACAAGUUCGAGUUUUUUUCCUGCUUCAAGGAUGGUAGAGAGCAGUCUUCAGCCUGAGACCCAUCCCUAGAGAAGGCUUCCAAUGACUCGAGCCCCUUUAAAGGAUCCGGAACAAAGGGGCCACUCACCCCUUCCAGGGUGCUCUGUUUUCUUUGUGGAGUUUCAAGAGUGAUGGGCGGAUUCUUCUUAGGUCUAAAGCUCUGCUGUCUUCCUGUACGGCAUGACCUGACCUCUUUGGCUUUGGGGGAACCAGAGAUGACCCUGCACUGUGAGAGGAUUUGACCUUGGCGUGUGUAAUGGCAGACGAGAACUACAAAGAAGGGGUGGCUGAGCACAGUUUACAGGGAAUGGUCUU
ensembl:lncRNA MUC20-OT1 MUC20 overlapping transcript